rnacentral:rRNA from 1 species
GAUUUUAGCAUGGAAUAAUGGAAUAGGACGUGUGGUUCUAUUUUGUUGGUUUCUAGGACCGCCGUAAUGAUUAAUAGGGACAGUCGGGGGCAUCAGUAUUCGAUUGUCAGAGGUGAAAUUCUUGGAUUUAUUGAAGACGAACUACUGCGAAAGCAUUUGCCAAGGAUGUUUUCAUUAAUCAGGAACGAAAGUUGAGGGAUCGAAGACGAUCAGAUACCGUCGUAGUCUCAACCAUAAACUAUGCCGACUAGGGAUCGGGCGAUGUUUUAUAUUGACUCGCUCGGCACCUUACGAGAAAUCAAAGUCCUUGGGUUCUGGGGGGAGUAUGGUCGCAAGGCUGAAACUUAAAGGAAUUGACGGAAGGGCACCACCAGGAGUGGAGCCUGCGGCUUAAUUUGACUCAACACGGGGAAACUCACCAGGUCCAGACACAUUAAGGAUUGACAGAUUGAGAGCUCUUUCUUGAUCAUGUGGGUGGUGGUGCAUGGCCGUUCUUAGUUGGUGGAGUGAUUUGUCUGCUUAAUUGCGAUAACGAACGAGACCUUAACCUGCUAAAUAGCCAGGCCCGCUUUGGCGGGUCGCCGGCUUCUUAGAGGGACUAUCGGAUUUCAAGUCGAUGGAAGUUUGAGGCAAUAACAGGUCUGUGAUGCCCUUAGAUGUUCUGGGCCGCACGCGCGCUACACUGACAGAGCCAACGAGUACAUUUCCUUGGCCGGAAGGACUGGGUAAUCUUGUUAAACUCCGUCGUGCUGGGGAUAGAGCAUUGCAAU